rnacentral:rRNA from 1 species
AACGAACGCUGGCGGCAUGCCUAACACAUGCAAGUCGAACGAGACCUUCGGGUCUAGUGGCGCACGGGUGCGUAACGCGUGGGAACCUGCCCUUAGGUUCGGAAUAACUCCCCGAAAGGGGUGCUAAUACCGGAUAAUGUCUUCGGACCAAAGAUUUAUCGCCUUUGGAUGGGCCCGCGUUGGAUUAGCUAGUUGGUAGGGUAAAAGCCUACCAAGGCGACGAUCCAUAGCUGGUCUGAGAGGAUGAUCAGCCACACUGGGACUGAGACACGGCCCAGACUCCUACGGGAGGCAGCGGUGGGGAAUAUUGGACAAUGGGCGAAAGCCUGAUCCAGCAAUGCCGCGUGAGUGAUGAAGGCCUUAGGGUUGUAGAGCUCUUUUACCCGGGAUGAUAAUGACAGUACCGGGAGAAUAAGCUCCGGCUAACUCCGUG